rnacentral:rRNA from 1 species
GAACGGCAGCACGGACUUCGGUCUGGUGGCGAGUGGCGAACGGGUGAGUAAUAUAUCGGAACGUAUCCAAUAAUGGGGGAUAACUAGUCGAAAGAUUGGCUAAUACCGCAUACGUCCUAAGGGAGAAAGCUGGGGAUCGUAAGACCUGGCGUUAAUGGAGCGGCCGAUAUCGGAUUAGCUAGUUGGUGGGGUAAAGGCCUACCAAGGCGACGAUCCGUAGCUGGUCUGAGAGGACGACCAGCCACACUGGAACUGAGACACGGUCCAGACUCCUACGGGAGGCAGCAGUGGGGAAUUUUGGACAAUGGGCGCAAGCCUGAUCCAGCCAUUCCGCGUGAGUGAAGAAGGCCUUCGGGUUGUAAAGCUCUUUCGCAAGGGAAGAAAACUUACCUAAUAACACUAGGUGAGGUUGACGGUACCUUGAUAAGAAGCACCGGCUAACUACGUGCCAGCAGCCGCGGUAAUACGUAGGGUGCGAGCGUUAAUCGGAAUUACUGGGCGUAAAGCGUGCGCAGGCUGUUUUGUAAGUCAGAUGUGAAAUCCCUGGGCUCAACCUAGGAACUGCGUUUGAAACUACAAGACUAGAAUAUGUCAGAGGGGGGUAGAAUUCCACGUGUAGCAGUGAAAUGCGUAGAGAUGUGGAGGAAUAUCAAUGGCGAAGGCAGCCCCCUGGGAUAAUAUUGACGCUCAUGCACGAAAGCGUGGGGAGCAAACA